GUAAGGAAAAUAUUUAGUAAAGCAACAGAUAGUGAUUUUUAAUCAGAGCAAAUACAACGUCAAAGUAGUGAUAUUCAAAUCGCAUCGCAAGAAACAGAAAAAUGUUUAAACUGAAAUCUGUUGCUAAAAUGGCGCUAACUUUUGUUGCCAGCGUUGUGUACUUCAGUUUGAGUGUUUACGCUAUAAAUCGAAAGGUUUUGCUAACGGAUGGUAAAUAAAGAGAAUUCACCGACAAUUUCCCGUACCUGUAAGAGACAACUGCUCCGAGAAAAGACAAUGAAGUGAAGGGUUUGAAGAGAAUAUACUAAGUAUAUGUGUAUUAAAAAAAAAAAACAAUAAUAAGCGGGUAUUAAGCAACGAAAAAUAAUUAUAACAAAGCAUACAGAUUUAUACAUACAUAUAAUGUAAUACAUACACAGACAAAUAAAUUUAUGGUGUGGGUAAUGACUAAAUAAGCAGCAAAUAAUAACGUCUUGGCGUCCUUAAAUGA